rnacentral:rRNA from 1 species
UACGUAGGGUGCAAGCGUUGUUCGGAAUUACUGGGCGUAAAGCGCUCGUAGGCGGGUUUGUAAGUCGAUUGUGAAAGCCCCGGGCUUAAUCCGGGAAUUGCAGUCGAAACUACAAGUCUUGAAUGCUCGAGAGGGUGACGGAAUUCCUGGUGUAGAAGUGAAAUUCGUAGAUAUCAGGAGGAACACCGGAGGCGAAGGCGGCUCACUGGCUCGUAACUGACGCUCGAUGCACGACAGCGUGGGAUCAAACAGG